UACGUAGGGGGGCUAGCGUUGUCCGGAAUCAUUUGGGCGUAAAGAGCGUGUAGGCGGCCCGGUAAGUCCGCUGUGAAAGUCGGGGGCUCAACCCUCGAAUGCCGGUGGAUACUGUCGGGCUAGAGUGCGGAAGAGGCGAGUGGAAUUCCUGGUGUAGCGGUGAAAUGCGCAGAUAUCAGGAGGAACACCAAUUGCGAAGGCAGCUCGCUGGGACGUAACUGACGCUGAGACGCGAAAGCGUGGGGAGCAAACAGG
rnacentral:rRNA from 1 species